UACGUAGGGUCCGAGCGUUGUCCGGAAUUAUUGGGCGUAAAGGGCGCGUAGGCGGCUUUGCAAGUGGCGGGUGAAAGCCCUCGGCUUAACCGAGGAACUGCCUGUCAGACUGUGAGGCUUGAGACCGGGAGAGGUGAGUGGGAAUUCCCAGUGUAGCGGUGAAAUGCGUAGAUAUUGGGAGGAACACCAGUGGCGAAGGCGGGGUCUCUGGACAGUUCCCUGACGCUGAGGCGCGAAGGCCAGGGGGAGC
rnacentral:rRNA from 1 species